GGAGGUCCAGCCUGCCCAGUGACUUUGUUCAACGGCCGCGGUAUCCUAACCGUGCGAAGGUAGCGUAAUCACUUGUUCUUUAAAUGAGGACUAGUAUGAAUGGCCCCACGAGGGCUGCACUGUCUCCUUUUUCUAAUCAAUGAAACUAAUCUCCCCGUGAAGAAGCGGGAAUUAUCCUAUAAGACGAGAAGACCCUAUGGAGCUUUAAACAAUUGAAACAUUUGCUUUUCUCCUAAUUCCUCCCGAGCUCUUUAUUUUUACUUAAGCAUUAUUAUUUCUAGUUUUAGGUUGGGGUGACCACGGAGCAAAACUAAACCUCCAUGAAGAAAUGAAUAUUUUUAAGCCACAAACUACUUUUUUAAGCAUCAACAAAUUGACCUUCAUUGACCCAAUAUAUUGAUCAACGAACCAAGUUACCCUAGGGAUAACAGCGCAAUCUACUUCAAGAGCUCAUAUCGACAAGUAGGUUUACGACCUCGAUGUUGGAUCAGGGUAUCCUAGUGGUGCAGCCGCUACUAAUGGUUCGUUUGUUCAACGAUUAAAACCCU
rnacentral:rRNA from 1 species